GGGUUGUGAGGUUAAGCGACUAAGCGUACACGGUGGAUGCCCUGGCAGUCAGAGGCGAUGAAGGACGUGCUAAUCUGCGAUAAGCGCCGGUAAGGUGAUAUGAACCGUUAUAACCGGCGAUUUCCGAAUGGGGAAACCCAGUGUGAUUCGUCACACUAUCAUUAACUGAAUCCAUAGGUUAAUGAGGCGAACCGGGGGAACUGAAACAUCUAAGUACCCCGAGGAAAAGAAAUCAACCGAGAUUCCCCCAGUAGCGGCGAGCGAACGGGGAGGAGCCCAGAGCCUGAAUCAGCAUGUGUGUUAGUGGAAGCGUCUGGAAAGGCGCGCGAUACAGGGUGACAGCCCCGUACACAAAAGCGCAUGUGCUGUGAGCUCGAUGAGUAGGGCGGGACACGUGGUAUCCUGUCUGAAUAUGGGGGGACCAUCCUCCAAGGCUAAAUACUCCUGACUGACCGAUAGUGAACCAGUACCGUGAGGGAAAGGCGAAAAGAACCCCGGCGAGGGGAGUGAAAAAGAACCUGAAACCGUGUACGUACAAGCAGUGGGAGCACAGGUUUACCUGUGUGACUGCGUACCUUUUGUAUAAUGGGUCAGCGACUUAUAUUCUGUAGCAAGGUUAACCGAAUAGGGGAGCCGGAGGGAAACCGAGUCUUAAUUGGGCGUUAAGUUGCAGGGUAUAGACCCGAAACCCGGUGAUCUAGCCAUGGGCAGGUUGAAGGUUGGGUAACACUAACUGGAGGACCGAACCGACUAAUGUUGAAAAAUUAGCGGAUGACCUGUGGCUGGGGGUGAAAGGCCAAUCAAACCGGGAGAUAGCUGGUUCUCCCCGAAAGCU
rnacentral:rRNA from 1 species